rnacentral:rRNA from 1 species
GUAGGGGGCAAGCGUUAUCCGGAUUUACUGGGUGUAAAGGGAGCGUAGACGGUCAAGCAAGUCAGAAGUGAAAGGCUGGGGCUCAACCCCGGGACUGCUUUUGAAACUGUUUGACUGGAGUGCUGGAGAGGUAAGCGGAAUUCCUAGUGUAGCGGUGAAAUGCGUAGAUAUUAGGAGGAACACCAGUGGCGAAGGCGGAUUGCUGGACGACAACUGACGGUGAGGCGCGAAAGCGUGGGGAGCAAACAGGAUUAGAUACCCUGGUAGUCCACGCUGUAAACGAUGAAUACUAGGUGUGCGGGGACUGACCCCCUGCGUGCCGCAGCUAACGCAAUAAGUAUUCCACCUGGGGAGU